GUCUACGGCCAUACCACCCUGAAUGCGCCCCAUCUCAUCUGAUCUAGGAAGCUAAGCAGGGCCGGGCCUGGUUAGUGCUUGGAUAGGAGAAUUUAAAGGUAAAAAUGCUUUGUAAAAC
rnacentral:rRNA from 1 species